rnacentral:rRNA from 1 species
CCUACGGGAGGCAGCAGUAGGGAAUAUUGCUCAAUGGGGGAAACCCUGAAGCAGCAACGCCGCGUGGAGGAUGAAGGUUUUAGGAUUGUAAACUCCUUUUGUGAGAGAAGAUUAUGACGGUAUCUCACGAAUAAGCACCGGCUAACUCCGUGCCAGCAGCCGCGGUAAUACGGAGGGUGCAAGCGUUACUCGGAAUCACUGGGCGUAAAGAGUGCGCAGGCGGGUAGUCAAGUCAGAUGUGAAAUCCUAUAGCUUAACUAUAGAACUGCAUUUGAAACUGAUUAUCUAGAGUGUGGGAGAGGUAGGUGGAAUUCUUGGUGUAGGGGUAAAAUCCGUAGAGAUCAAGAGGAAUACUCAUUGCGAAGGCGACCUACUGGAACAUUACUGACGCUCAUGCACGAAAGCGUGGGGAGCAAACAGGAUUAGAUACCCGAGUAGUC